UCUAGAGAUGUGAUUAAUUGUCAUUUUAAAAAACUUACAAAGAUGUUAAGCUGCUUGUUACAGUGGGCUGUUCCUGAAGGGUUUACAUCACUUGGUUAGUGGAUCAGCGUGCCUCAGUGAACAGAGAAUUCAGGAGACUAGAAUUUCCAUCCUACUCUCACAAUAUCAUUGUGUAGGAACUGGAACAGUCACUUAGUAUUUUUUCUUUAAAUCUUUGUCUAUGAUAUAUUUCGUGUAAAAGUGAUUGGCUCAACAUUUGUCAUCCAUGGACCAUGACAGCUCCUUUGAGUUCCUGAUCUGGCCACCUAGAGGUGAACAAAGAUUCACUUUCCUGUAGAACAAAGAGAUUCGGAGGGAACAGGGGAAGACCUGGCAGAAAGAAGUUGGCAGAAAGCUGGAUUAACCACGGAGGAGGGAAAGCAGAGGAGACAGUUCCCUGUCCAUGCACAGUAUAUGUGGAUGUGGAGAAACGCAGGCUCCAGUCCUGGUCACUAGCCCGGUGAGGAAGCCUCUCUUCUCUGAGACGUGAGCCUCAAAGAGUGACAUGACAUUUCGGCAGCAGAUGACCUUAGGGCCUGAAAAUAGCAACUUUUCCUAGCUCAGAGGAGUACCCCACAGUUGAUUUUUUUUCCUGGUCCAGGGUGAUUUAGAAGAGAACCAAGAUGAUGCUGCUACCUUCAUAUGGAGGACUGGAGAGGACAUGAUAUACCAUAGGAAAUCCACUGCUGCUGGCCCUUAGAGAAGAAAUUGAAAAUGCGUGUGCAGCAAUCUGUGACCAUGGUUAUCCAAACUGCAGAAGUUUGCUAUGCUGAUAAAUGUCUGUAAGCAAAUGACCAUCACUUUGAGCACCACUUGUAAUUGUGGAGGGGGAAAGUUAUUAUUAUUAAUCUCCUGGUGUUUCAGUAAGUCUAAUAUUAAAAUAUUUAUACAAGUU